UCUCUGCCCAAUUCUUCCCCCAACCUGACGGUUUCCAAUCUCCUCAAACCGACGCCGGCCACGAUUCUUCUCCUUUCCCCGAGUACAAAGCCCUCUCCUCGUCCCUGAGCCGAUCACCUUUCCCUCGCGACGCCUCUGCCCUAGCCUCUCCACCCGAACCUUUCCCUCUGCCCUAGCGUGCCGACCUUGUUCCGCGGCUACCACUAGAUCGCGCAGCGGGGGUGUGAACUAGCUUCGACCGACCUCUUGUCGCAUCGACGCUGCCGCAUGAAGCAACGCCGACACCCUACAGCCGACGCCUCACCGAAGCUUCCUCUCCUCUGUCGUCACCCCUCGCCGUGGAGAACCCAGUCGUCGACGUUGGUCAAGCGGCCUUCUUCCCCUCCGCUCGCUAAGUUCAGUUUGUCCGUUCCUCGACUCUAGCCCCUACAGAUCUCAUGUCUGAGUGUCACUGCUCCUCUCCUUCUCAUCACCGACGAUCAUCCAAAUCUUGUUCUAGCAGCCGACCUCCCUUCUGGCAUCCCAACUUUGGUCGUAGAUACCAAAGGGGCUUCUGACAACCAAGCUUCCGAUUGUGCCCUAGACCUACCUUCGAGCCGUCUCUUCUUGAUCUAGCACUGGCUCACUGAGUUCCGCCGUCUCUGGACCCAGGGCCGCCAUCAGUACCUGGAAGCUUGCUGCCAUUGCCGAUCUAGGAAUUUCGAUGGCCAAAAAUUAAGCAUGUGCCCCCAGCAGCAGCUGUGAUUUCCGACCACAAUUUCCAGCAACAUCCUUGGCUUCGAUUUGGGGAUUCAGAUUCAGGAUGAGCACUUCGACAUAGAGGUUGAUUAGCUCAAUCUAUAUUGGAG